rnacentral:rRNA from 1 species
AUUGAACGCUGGCGGCAGGCCUAACACAUGCAAGUCGAACGGUAACAGGAAGAAUCUUGCUUCUUUGCUGACGAGUGGCGGACGGGUGAGUAAUGUCUGGGAAACUUCCUGAUGGAGGGGGAUAACUACUGGAAACGGUAGCUACUACCGCAUAACGUCGCAAGACCAAAAAGGGGGACCUUCGGGCCUCUUGCCCUCGGAUGUGCCCAGAUGGGAUUAGCUAGUAGGUGGGGUAACGGCUCACCUAGGCGACGAUCCCUAGCUGGUCUGAGAGGAUGACCAGCCACACUGGAACUGAGACACGGUCCAGACUCCUACGGGAGGCAGCAGUGGGGAAUAUUGCACAAUGGGCGCAAGCCUGAUGCAGCCAUGCCGCGUGUAUGAAGAAGGCCUUCGGGUUGUAAAGUACUUUCAGCGGGGAGGAAGGGAGUAAAGUUAAUACCUUUGCUCAUUGACGUUACCCGCAGAAGAAGCACCGGCUAACUCCGUG